rnacentral:snoRNA from 1 species
GGCCCACAGUGAAGGGAUGAGACGAUGCCGGGCGGACAGGGCCCGGUCUCCGGACCGCUGGAGGGGGUCUCUGGCCGUCAAUGAGAGCGGGGGAUCAGCCGGGCCCACACCGAUUGGUUUCUGUUA